rnacentral:lncRNA from 1 species
CACACACACACACACACACCCUGAAAGGGCUUUCCUUGUCUUAAGCCUCUGUGUAUGAAACACUCUGGAACCCACCGGCCUAGGUGUUAGAACAGCACCGAAGUUGCCAGGGCCAGGGGUCCAGCCAUCCUGACCUCUGCUAGCCACCCUGCAAGGGCCGAUGUUCCCACGCAGGAGGCCCCAGGGAGGUGGUACUGAGCAACCGGCCACACCCAAGGAAACAGCUCAGAGCUCAACUUCCUCCUGAAUUAGGCCACACCCGAGGCCUCCCGGGUCUCAUCCACGCCUCUGGGUCCAUCACUAAACAGAAGGCACAAUCCCACUAACUCUUACUCCAUCGCUGCUCAUGAAACUCCUGCCAGUAAGGACUGGGUCAAGCACCUGAAAACCAGAGCUCGUCCGUGGCUUCACUUGUUUUGGACUAAGGAGCUGAGGAGCGUGCAAGACUGUACUUGGAGAAUCUGUUUCUUGCUGCCAUUUCGUCACUGAACACUAUUUUUUUUCUCCUUCUUUUUUUGUAAGAAAAGGAGAACACAUAAAACCCCACCAGAACAAACUCCACUCGGCCCUGAAAGUAUUUACAAUCACGGCCCUGAAAGUACUGAAAGUAUUUACAAUCACGUUACAGUUCAUUCACUGCUGCAGAACCUCUCUCCAGCGAUCAAGGUCGAAGGGAGCCGACGUCGCCCUCUAUCGGCUCCCUGCUGCACUAGAAGGUUCUCCUGUCCCAGCCCCUGGGCUUGCCAGUGAUGCCCAGAGGAUGAUGUGCCUGGUGGCUGAGCUCUUCCAGAACUAAAGACGUGCGGAUCCCUGAGUAUCCAUAACCAUCAAAGCAUGAAGUAAUGCCUUGUAAGUGGUGUCACCACACCUCCCAGAAGAAGGAUGGAUUCCUACCAGAAGCAGUCAAACAUAGUGCCGGAUCAUCUAAGUGAAACGGAUCCCCAUGGGUGCUGCUAUUGGGAUACCAAAGGUCUGAAGUUCAUCCAAUGCAAUAGCAGAAAUAAUUACAUCUGUGAGCAUGUGAGAAGAACCCUGAGUUAGUCCCAAGUGCAAAUCACCAUCUCCAACCAAUUCCUCCACCAAUUGAUGGAUGUUGGGGAGUGGGGUACAGCAACCCCUCCAAGUCCUUCCUCCCUCUAUAUAGCCCAGGAGACUCCCCUCCCACCAGCCUGGCCCCCAGAGUGCUGACUGGCAACAAUAUUCCAAGUUAAAAUAGUUUGCUAAAUAGUUAUACAAUUAGUUUACAAUUCAAAUAUAUCAGAGGAAAAGACAGGGAAAAAAAUUCUAAGAUACAUGAAUCCCAGACCAUUGCUCUCCAAAUAUUUUCAAGUGAUUCAUCUCCUUUAUUUAAAAAAUGAAUUAACCACCAGAUGGGACACUCAUACAUUCCUGAUGGUUGUAGGAAUCAGUAGACCCUGUAUGGAAAGCAAUAGGAUAAUAUUUCAUAGGAUCAAAUUAAAAUGUUCACAGCAUUGGUUCCAGGAAAUUGGCUUCUGGAGAAUUUAUACUCCAGAAACAAUUCAACAAAAGAACACAGCUCUGUGCAUGCAGAUGCUCAUUAGCCCAUCACCUAGAGUAAGGGAAAGUGGAGAUCCCAAUGAACAACAAUGAGAUGGGUUAGCGAACUGUGACCUAUCAGCCCAAUGGACAUUUAAGCAAUCACUGAAAAGUAGAAACAUGAAGAUAUUACACAACAUGGAAACUGUUUAUGGAGUAUAUUUAGGUAAAAAGGAAAAAAAGGCAGAACUGUAUAUCUGUGGUUGGAUAUACUUUUUUUUUUUUAAUAUUAAGCACCAACCAAAAGAAGAAAGGAGGAUAGAAAAAAUAAAAUGGAAGAUGUAGGGUGGGCAGAUUAGGGCUGCGUUUGUUGCUUGCUUUCAUGUUACCAUCAUAGCGUUUUUGCCACUUACAAAGGAGGAAAAAAAUCAAUUCUGUGCCAACCCAGACAACAGAGACCUGAGUGGGGGUUGGGAAGAGAGAUUUUUCAGCACAGAAUCAGACUCCUUCUCCAAAGAGCUGUGUGGCCUUCACCUGCAAGGCGACCUCUUCCACAAGCAGAGGCCAGGACAAAAAGAGGCACCUGUGAGCGACAAAGACGGUUUCCUUGGUUUCCCUCACGGCGCCAAGCGGAGUGGCCGCCUCCCACCACAGGGCCCCCUAAUGGGCGCUUUUGUCCUGCGGGGCAGAGGGACCUCAUUAGAAGGCGCUGGUGCUAAAGGGAAAUGCAUUUCCAGAACAGGAGGUUUCAUCAUUCCUAGCGUUAGCGACAGAAUGGUGACAGAAGCUCUGUGGACGUAUUUUCCAGCGUUCAGUUCACAUCAAGGAUGGGUAUGCACUGGCGGAAAAGGUCAGCUCGCAGAAUGAUCGCCCAUCCACACAGCGUUUGGAGGUCAGACGUUCCUGAUGACUGUGAAAAUGGGGAGGUGAGAAGAGGUCGUCAAAGGGAGCAGCCUUUUAAAGCCAGGGUCGUGAGAAGAAGAGGCAAGGCGUUUGGUAAAUCGAAUUGAUUGAUGCCCAGAAGCAUUUGCGGGUUGCAGAGCUCACACUUUAAAGGGGGCCUGGGCACCCGGCUUGAGGGUCACCCGAACACACUACCCACGCGGCGAGGCGAGCGUGGGGAACAAUGGGCCCACCCGGGCCCCCACCCGGCGAACAAUGGCGGCGCCGAGCCCGUCUUCGCCCCCCAUCCCCACCCCCGCCACCCCCGCCCGGCCCGCCGCUCCCGGCCGCCUCUCCACCCGCCCGGGAGGGAACCAUAGUGCGCGGGGCGAGGGGUCUCUGGUCAGGUCCACCCGAGAGGCCAGCCCCGCGGGAAUGUCCGAGGGGGC